UACGGGGGGGGCAAGCGUUGUUCGGAAUUACUGGGCGUAAAGGGUCUGUAGGUGGCUUGCUAAGUCAGACGUGAAAUCCCUCGGCUUAACCGGGGAACUGCGUCUGAUACUGGCGAGCUUGAGUGCAGGAGAGGAACGCGGAAUUCCAGGUGUAGCGGUGAAAUGCGUAGAUAUCAGGAAGAACACCCGUGGCGAAGGCGGCUCUCUGGGACGGUACUGACGCUGAGACGCGAAAGCGUGGGGAGCGAACAGG
rnacentral:rRNA from 1 species